rnacentral:rRNA from 1 species
CCUACGGGUGGCAGCAGUGGGGAAUAUUGCACAAUGGGGGAAACCCUGAUGCAGCGACGCCGCGUGAAGGAAGAAGUCUUUCGGUAUGUAAACCUCUAUCAGCAGGGAAGAAAAUGACGGUACCUGACUCAGCAGCCCCGGCUAACUACGUUACAGCAGCCGCGGUAAUACGGAGGCGGCCAGCGUUAUCCGGAUUUACUGGGUGUAAAGGGAGCGUAGGUGGUUUAGCAAGUCAGGAGUGAAAGCCCGGGGCUCAACUCCGGGACUGCAGUUGAAACUGUUAAACUAGAGUGCAGGAGAGGUAAGUGGAAUUCCUAGUGUAGCGGUGAAAUGCGUAGAUAUUAGGAGGAACACCAGUGGCGAAGGCAGCUUACUGGACUGUAAAUGACGCUGAGGCUCGAAAGCGUGGGGAGCAAACAGGAUUAGAUACCCGAGUAGUC